ensembl:lncRNA
CGUCGUUGUUGGUAAUCAAGCCUACCACUGUUGUGUCAUCCGCAAACUUGAUGAUUGAGUUGGAGGCGUGCGUGGCCACGCAGUCGUGGGUGAACAGGGAGUACAGGAGAGGGCUCAGAACGCACCCUUGUGGGGCCCCAGUGUUGAGGAUCAGCGGGGAGGAGAUGUUGUUGCCUUCCCUCACCACCUGGGGCGGCCCGUCAGGAAGUCCAGUACCCAGUUGCACAGGGCGGGGUCGAGACCCAGGGUCUCGAGCUUGAUGACGAGCUUGGAGGGUACUAUGGUGUUGAAUGCCGAGCUGUAGUCGAUGAACAGCAUUCUCACAUAGGUAUUCCGCUUGUCCAGAUGGGUUAGGGCAGUGUGCAGUGUGGUUGAGAUUGCAUCGUCUGUGGACCUAUUUGGGCGGUAAGCAAAUUGGAGUGGGUCUAGGGUGUCAGGUAGGGUGGAGGUGAUAUGGUCCUUGACUAGUCUCUCAAAGCACUUCAUGAUGACGGAAGUGAGUGCUACAGGGUGGUAGUCGUUUAGCUCAGUUACCUUAGCUUUCUUGGGAACAGGAACAAUGGUGGCCCUCUUGAAGCAUGUGGGAACAGCAGACUGGGAUAGGAAUUGAUUGAAUAUGUCCGUAAACACACCAGCCAGCUGGUCUGCGCAUGCUCUGAGGGCGCGGCUGGGGAUGCCGUCUGGGCCUGCAGCCUUGC